rnacentral:rRNA from 1 species
UACGGAGGGUGCAAGCAUUAAUCGGAUUUAUUGGGCGUAAAGGGCGCGUAGGCGGCCGCAUAAGUCAGAUGUGAAAUCCUGGGGCUCAACCUCAGAACAGCAUUUGAAACUGUGCGGCUAGAGGGUAGUCGGAGAAAACGGAAUUCCACAAGUAGCGGUGAAAUGCGUAGAUAUGUGGAAGAACAUCUGUGGCGAAGGCGGUUUUCUAGAUUACUCCUGACGCUGAGGCGCGAAAGCAAGGGGAGCAAACAGG